rnacentral:rRNA from 1 species
GACGAACGCUGGCGGCGUGCUUAACACAUGCAAGUCGAACGGAAAGGCCCUGCUUUUGUGGGGUGCUCGAGUGGCGAACGGGUGAGUAACACGUGAGUAACCUGCCCUUGACUUUGGGAUAACUUCAGGAAACUGGGGCUAAUACCGGAUAGGAGCUCCUGCUGCAUGGGGGGGGUUGGAAAGUUUCGGCGGUUGGGGAUGGACUCGCGGCUUAUCAGCUUGUUGGGGGGGUAGUGGCUUACCAAGGCUUUGACGGGUAGCCGGCCUGAGAGGGUGACCGGCCCCAUUGGGCCUGAGGUACGGCCCAGACUCCUACGGGAGGCAGCAGUGGGGAAUAUUGCACAGUGGGCGGAAGCCUGAUGCAGCAACGCCGCGUGCGGGAUGACGGCCUUCGGGUUGUAAACCGCUUUCGCCUGUGACGAAGCGUGAGUGACGGUAAUGGGUAAAGAAGCACCGGCUAACUACGUG